rnacentral:rRNA from 1 species
UAGGGAAUCUUCCGCAAUGGACGAAAGUCUGACGGAGCAACGCCGCGUGGAUGAUGAAGGCCGAAAGGUUGUAAAGUCCUUUUGCUGGGGAAGAAUAAGCGUGGGAGGGAAUGCCCGCGUGAUGACAUGAACCGGCGAAUAAGCCCCGGCCAACUACGUGCCAGCAGCCGCGGUAACACGUAGGGGGCAAGCGUUGUUCGGAAUUACUGGGCGUAAAGGGCAUGUAGGCGGUUUAGUAAGCUUGGCGUGAAAGACCACAGCUCAACUGUGGGGUUGCGUUGAGAACUGCUGAACUUGAGUUACGGAGAGGGAGCUAGAAUUCCUGGUGUAGGGGUGGAAUCUGUAGAGAUCAGGAAGAAUACCGAUGGCGAAGGCAAGCUUCUGGCCGAUAACUGACGCUGAGGUGCGAAAGUGUGGGGAUCAAACA